rfam:Ovis aries breed Texel chromosome 1, whole genome shotgun sequence.
GUCUCCGUAGCGCAAUCGGUUAGCGCGUCCGGCUGUUAACCGUAAAGGUUGGUGGCUUGAGCCCACUCAGGGACA